rnacentral:rRNA from 1 species
AGAAUCAACGCUGGCGGCGUGCCUAACACAUGCAAGUCGAACGAGAAAGUGGAGCAAUCCAUGAGUAAAGUGGCGCACGGGUGAGUAACACGUGAAUCAUCUACCUCCGAGUGGGGAAUAACCUAGAGAAAUCUGGGCUAAUACCGCAUAACACUUACGAGUCAAAGCAGCAAUGCGCUUGGAGAGGAGUUCGCGGCCGAUUAGUUAGUUGGCGGGGUAAUGGCCCACAAGACGAUGAUCGGUA